AAGGAAGAGCCGGUGCGCAGAUUCCGCAUUAGCAGCGAUGCUUUCUCUACAUUGUCGGAUGAUGAAUUCGUCGCUAUCAAAUGAGGCUGUCCGCGAAGUAUAUGAAGCUUUUCGGGAGGAUGUGCAACGCGCCCGGCAGUCGCAUCAUACGACACUGACCGUGGAACGGAGGGUUCUGUCAUAGCUUCCACGAAUUAGAAGUUUCACAGGCUGUGUCGGUCUGUGGUGCCUGAAGUCAGGUUCUGUUCAUGAACACAAGGUUCCCUGGAUCGUGGCACGGUGCUCCUUAAUGGACAGCCUGCAAUCUGCAUCAAGUAGCUGCCACUAUAUUCGAAGAUGGAGAUUGACCUGUAGGUAAUAACGGCUACCCGCUCCAGCCCUGGCUCAUAGCACCUGUUCGUUCGCACUCAACACGUUAAGAACAAAGCUACAACACUGCACACCGCAGGACCCAUGUGUGCAUUGAGCACGACUUUGGGGUACUGAAGA